rnacentral:misc_RNA from 1 species
UUUCCGUAGGUGAACCUGCGGAAGGAUCAUUAACACGUAUCCACGUUAUCAACCAACUGCGAACUCGUUCUCAACCCCUUCUCCCUGCUGAUGAGUGCAUGAACUGUUUCACGACAGUUGUAGUCUCGACAGCGGGUCAACCAAUAAACAAACAAAUCUCACCCCACUUUUUGCUAGUUGACUUUUAUAUGUUGUAUGGCUGAAUGGUUUAACAACCGCUCGACCUUACACACGUUUAUCUAUUCGAACGUUAAAAUUACAACUCUUAGCAAUGGAUAUCUUGGUUCUC